UGAUACAAAUUCUAACUGUCUCAUGAAUAUCUACAUAAAUUGCAUUGCAUUAUUUACAAGUGUUUAAAUGACCGAUGCAAUCACAAUAUGACUUGAUCUUAAUGACAGGGGCUCUGUAUUUGGCCUGGUAUUUGAAUGUCGUUGCACUUCUACACUGUCCGUUUGGUCUAUUCAGUCAAGUGUGUCUGCUCAGUUCUAUAGUAAUCCUCCUAAAGAGAAGGGAUAAUAAACUUCCUAAUAUGCAAAGAUUUAGGCUGAAAAGCGCAGGAGUAGGUGACAAAUCACUGUAACAAAAGUGGCCGUAUUUUAAACAGAAAGUACAAGUGUUAAAGGCCUUUUUGACCGUUCUUUUAGCACCAGUUGAAACAUACAGCUUCCAAACUGACAGCAAAAGACUUAAAGUCAUCGGAAAAGCACAGCGUCCACUACCACUCAACGCGGGAGACAGUGUUGGCGUGUACCCGAUAUCAAAGCAGUUUGAGAGGUACUGCUAUACUGUGAUCCUACAUCCACCAAAGGAAACUUUAGUUACUUCAGGAAAUCAGUAUUUUUCACAAAAAGAGUAUAUUUUCACAACCGGAGAGAGGGUUAUGAAGUUUUCUAGCAGUAUCUUUGAAUCUCAGAUAUAUUUAGUCUUUGAUUACCAUCUAACGUUUAUCCAUGAAUAAAACAUUAGGACAUCUGUUUUUCAUAUAUAAAAAUGACAUUUAGUGUGACGCUGGGAUUUUGUUUGAAGUUUUUAUAUUUGUGUACAAAACUAUCCAAUAUUCUUGACUCUCGUGAAAAGUAAAAACGAAUAAAAUAAAUGACAGUCAACAUAGUUGAGUUAUCACAAAAAAGGCUAAAUGUUAAAUAGCUACUAUAUCUAGUAGCCUUAAGAAUAUAAUAAAUGUUUUCAGUGUUGCCACUAUACAUCUUAUAAAACGAAUAACAGUUUGAAGCAAAUGUAUACUGCAGAAGUAAGAUCUUGGUGGGGUGUUUUUUGAGGGCGCUAAAAUAAAUUCUUAAAACUGA